rnacentral:pre_miRNA from 1 species
GUCCGAAAAUAUUUGUCAUCAAAAUGGAUAAAAAAGGAUGUAUCUAGAAUUAAUAUACAUCUAGAUACAUCCCCUUUUAUUCAUUUUGAUGACAAAUAUUUCCGGAC